rnacentral:rRNA from 1 species
UUCCGGUUGAUCCUGCCGGACCUGACUGCUAUCGGAUUGGUACUAAGCCAUGUGAGUCGUUGUAGCAAUACAAGGCAUACGGCUCAGUAACACGUAGUCAAUCUAACCUAUGGACGGGGAUAACCUCGGGAAACUGAGGAUAAAACCCGAUAGAUCAUAAUGCCUGGAACGGUUUAUGGUCCAAAUGAUUCGUCGCCGUAGGGUGGGACUGCGGCCUAUCAGCUUGUUGGUGAGGUAAUGGCCCACCAAGGCUAUUACAGGUACGGGCUCUGAGAGGAGUAGCCCGGAGAUGGGUACUGAGACACGGACCCAGGCCCUAUGGGGCGCAGCAGGCGAGAAACCUUUGCAAUGUGCGCAAGCACGACAAGGUUAAUCCGAGUGUUUCCUGUUAAAGGAAUCUUUUGUUAGUCGUAAAAUCACUAUUGAAUAAGGGGUGGGCAAGUUCUGGUGUCAGCCGCCGCGGUAAAACCAGCACCUCAAGUGGUCAGGAUGAUUAUUGGGCCUAAAGCAUCCGUAGCCUGUUCUGUAAGUUUCCGGUUAAAUCCAUUAGCUCAACUAAUGGGCCGCCGAAAAUACUGCAGAACUAGGGAGUGGGAGAGGUAGACGGUACUCGGUAGGAAGGGGUAAAAUCCUUUGAUCUCUCGAUGACCACCUGUGGCGAAGGCGGUCUACCAGAACACGUCCGACGGUGAGGGAUGAAAGCUGGGGGAGCAAACCGGAUUAGAUACCCGGGUAGUCCCAGCUGUAAACUAUGCAAACUCAGUGAUGCACUGGCUUUUGGCCAGUGCAGUGUUGCAGGGAAGCCGUUAAGUUUGCCGCCUGGGAAGUACGUACGCAAGUAUGAAACUUAAAGGAAUUGGCGGGGGAGCACCACAAGGGGUGAAGCCUGCGGGUUCAAUUGGAUUCAACGCCGGG